rnacentral:rRNA from 1 species
UACGGGGGGGGCAAGCGUUGUUCGGAAUUACUGGGCGUAAAGGGCGCGUAGGCGGCCCUCUAAGUCGGACGUGAAAUCCCUCGGCUCAACCGAGGAACUGCGUCCGAUACUGGAGGGCUUGAAUCCGGGAGAGGGAUGUGGAAUUCCAGGUGUAGCGGUGAAAUGCGUAGAUAUCUGGAGGAACACCGGUGGCGAAGGCGGCAUCCUGGACCGGUAUUGACGCUGAGGCGCGAAAGCUAGGGGAGCAAACGGG